AAGCAUAAAUCAAUCAUUAAUUAUUUUCAGACGCGGGAGUGGAAAUCAGAAUUUAAGAGAUGAUGUGGGAAGAUCUGGUGAAAAUGGUGAAGCACUUCCUCUGAAUCCAAAUGAAAUCCAAAUAGCCAUUUAGAGAAUGUAAUGGGAUACAAAAAUCUAUCCGUUUAGAGAAUGCAACGGGAAACGAAAAUUGAACGUUGUUAGAAGAGCAGGAAAAAAAAAAGAGCAGAAAAACGCAUAUCCAACGGAAGAGGUGGAACAGUAGAAGGACAAAGUAAAAAGGCAGAGGCAGAGCAAAAGGAAGCCACAAAAUUCUUGUUUAAGUGUAUGUAGGCUCUCCUUUAACUCCCAUCAAUAAUUUCCUUUUUUAAAAUACUGUAUAACGAGAGAAUGGAUUUAUGCGGGCAAGCAAGGAAGGAUGGAGGAGUUGUGCUACUUUGUCCUUGAUCCCUUCUCAACAAUCAAGAGAGGAGGCACAGUAGAGGUUGAUAAUGUCACAGGGACCUGCCCAUUUUGGGUUGAAUGACAUGUUCUGCACAACUACGUUUAGGGAUGCCAAUUCGUUCAGGGGACUUCAGGUGAUAGAUGAUAUUAAAACUGAAGAGGUUGUUGCAAUCGUUAAAAUUGUACAUGUAAUUUGUAAAUUGAGGCAUUUUACCGGAUAAUUUAAAAUUGAAGAUGUUGCAUUUUUGAACCAAUUGUUGAAAUUGUUGACAUCAAUAAGUGUAAUAUGUAAAUUGAGACAAUGCCUAUCAAUUUAACCAGUAAAAUGAUAUGUAAAUUGAUUUA